rnacentral:rRNA from 1 species
GAUGAACGCUGGCGGCGUGCCUAAUACAUGCAAGUCGAGCGAACAGACGAGGAGCUUGCUCCUUUGACGUUAGCGGCGGACGGGUGAGUAACACGUGGGUAACCUACCUAUAAGACUGGGAUAACUUCGGGAAACCGGAGCUAAUACCGGAUAAUAUUUCGAACCGCAUGGUUCGAUAGUGAAAGAUGGCUCUGCUAUCACUUAUAGAUGGACCUGCGCCGUAUUAGCUAGUUGGUAAGGUAACGGCUUACCAAGGCAACGAUACGUAGCCGACCUGAGAGGGUGAUCGGCCACACUGGAACUGAGACACGGUCCAGACUCCUACGGGAGGCAGCAGUAGGGAAUCUUCCGCAAUGGGCGAAAGCCUGACGGAGCAACGUCGCGUGAGUGAUGAAGGUCUUCGGAUCGUAAAACUCUGUUAUUAGGGAAGAACAAACGUGUAAGUAACUGUGCACGUCUUGACGGUACCUAAUCAGAAAGCCACGGCUAACUACGUG